CCCACGUGUGGCAGCAGUGAGGAAUAUUGGUCAAUGGACGCAAGUCUGAACCAGCCAUGCCGCGUGCAGGAAGACGGCUCUCUGAGUUGUAAACUGCUUUUGUCAGGGAGCAACGCCGGCUACGUGUAGCCGGACUGAGAGUACCUGAAGAAAAAGCAUCGGCUAACUUCGUGCCAGCAGCCGCGGUAAUACGGAGGAUGCGAGCGUUAUCCGGAUUUAUUGGGUUUAAAGGGUGCGUAGGCGGAAUGCCAAGUCAGCGGUAAAAUCGCGGGGCUCAACCUCGCUCCGCCGUUGAAACUGGCGUUCUUGAGUGGGCGAGAAGUAUGCGGAAUGCGUGGUGUAGCGGUGAAAUGCAUAGAUAUCACGCAGAACUCCGAUUGCGAAGGCAGCAUACCGGCGCCCAACUGACGCUGAAGCACGAAAGCGUGGGUAUCGAACAGGAUUAGAUACCCGUGUAGUC
rnacentral:rRNA from 1 species